rnacentral:rRNA from 1 species
UUAAGCGACUAAGCGUACACGGUGGAUGCCCUGGCAGUCAGAGGCGAUGAAGGACGUGCUAAUCUGCGAAAAGCGUCGGUAAGGUGAUAUGAACCGUUAUAACCGGCGAUGUCCGAAUGGGGAAACCCAGUGCAAUUCGUUGCACUAUCGUUAACUGAAUACAUAGGUUAACGAGGCGAACCGGGGGAACUGAAACAUCUAAGUACCCCGAGGAAAAGAAAUCAACCGAGAUUCCCCCAGUAGCGGCGAGCGAACGGGGAGCAGCCCAGAGUCUGAAUCAGCUUGUGUGUUAGUGGAACGGUCUGGAAAGUCCGACGGUACAGGGUGAUAGUCCCGUACACCAAAAUGCACAGGCUGUGAACUCGAAGAGUAGGGCGGGACACGUGGUAUCCUGUCUGAAUAUGGGGGGACCAUCCUCCAAGGCUAAAUACUCCUGACUGACCGAUAGUGAACCAGUACCGUGAGGGAAAGGCGAAAAGAACCCCGGCGAGGGGAGUGAAAAAGAACCUGAAACCGUGUACGUACAAGCAGUGGGAGCACCUUUAUGGUGUGACUGCGUACCUUUUGUAUAAUGGGUCAGCGACUUAUAUUCUGUAGCAAGGUUAACCGUAUAGGGGAGCCGCAGGGAAACCGAGUCUUAACUGGGCGUUAAGUUGCAGGGUAUAGACCCGAAACCCGGUGAUCUAGCCAUGGGCAGGUUGAAGGUUGGGUAACACUAACUGGAGGACCGAACCGACUAAUGUUGAAAAAUUAGCGGAUGACUUGUGGCUGGGGGUGAAAGGCCAAUCAAACCGGGAGAUAGCUGGUUCUCCCCGAAAGCUAUUUAGGUAGCGCCUCGUGAACUCAUCUUCGGGGGUAGAGCACUGUUUCGGCUAGGGGGUCAUCCCGACUUACCAACCCGAUGCAAACUACGAAUACCGAAGAAUGUUAUCACGGGAGACACACGGCGGGUGCUAACGUCCGUCGUGAAGAGGGAAACAACCCAGACCGCCAGCUAAGGUCCCAAAGUCAUGGUUAAGUGGGAAACGAUGUGGGAAGGCACAGACAGCCAGGAUGUUGGCUUAGAAGCAGCCAUCAUUUAAAGAAAGCGUAAUAGCUCACUGGUCGAGUCGGCCUGCGCGGAAGAUGUAACGGGGCUAAACCAUGCACCGAAGCUGCGGCAGCGACACUAUGUGUUGUUGGGUAGGGGAGCGUUCUGUAAGCCUGCGAAGGUGGCCUGUGAGGGUUGCUGGAGGUAUCAGAAGUGCGAAUGCUGACAUAAGUAACGAUAAAGCGGGUGAAAAGCCCGCUCGCCGGAAGACCAAGGGUUCCUGUCCAACGUUAAUCGGGGCAGGGUGAGUCGACCCCUAAGGCGAGGCCGAAAGGCGUAGUCGAUGGGAAACAGGUUAAUAUUCCUGUACUUGGUGUUACUGCGAAGGGGGGACGGAGAAGGCUAUGUUAGCCGGGCGACGGUUGUCCCGGUUUAAGCAUGUAGGCUGGUUAUCCAGGCAAAUCCGGAUAAUCAAGGCUGAGGUGUGAUGACGAGGCACUACGGUGCUGAAGUAACAAAUGCCCUGCUUCCAGGAAAAGCCUCUAAGCAUCAGGUAACAUCAAAUCGUACCCCAAACCGACACAGGUGGUCAGGUAGAGAAUACCAAGGCGCUUGAGAGAACUCGGGUGAAGGAACUAGGCAAAAUGGUGCCGUAACUUCGGGAGAAGGCACGCUGGUGUGUAGGUGAAGCCCCUGCGGGUGGAGCUGAGACCAGUCGAAGAUACCAGCUGGCUGCAACUGUUUAUUAAAAACACAGCACUGUGCAAACACGAAAGUGGACGUAUACGGUGUGACGCCUGCCCGGUGCCGGAAGGUUAAUUGAUGGGGUUAUCCGUAAGGAGAAGCUCUUGAUCGAAGCCCCGGUAAACGGCGGCCGUAACUAUAACGGUCCUAAGGUAGCGAAAUUCCUUGUCGGGUAAGUUCCGACCUGCACGAAUGGCGUAAUGAUGGCCAGGCUGUCUCCACCCGAGACUCAGUGAAAUUGAACUCGCUGUGAAGAUGCAGUGUACCCGCGGCAAGACGGAAAGACCCCGUGAACCUUUACUAUAGCUUGACACUGAACAUUGAGCCUUGAUGUGUAGGAUAGGUGGGAGGCUUUGAAGCGUGGACGCCAGUCUGCGUGGAGCCAACCUUGAAAUACCACCCUUUAAUGUUUGAUGUUCUAACGUUGGCCCCUUAUCGGGGUUGCGGACAGUGUCUGGUGGGUAGUUUGACUGGGGCGGUCUCCUCCCAAAGCGUAACGGAGGAGCACGAAGGUUAGCUAAUCCUGGUCGGACAUCAGGAGGUUAGUGCAAUGGCAUAAGCUAGCUUGACUGCGAGCGUGACGGCGCGAGCAGGUGCGAAAGCAGGUCAUAGUGAUCCGGUGGUUCUGAAUGGAAGGGCCAUCGCUCAACGGAUAAAAGGUACUCCGGGGAUAACAGGCUGAUACCGCCCAAGAGUUCAUAUCGACGGCGGUGUUUGGCACCUCGAUGUCGGCUCAUCACAUCCUGGGGCUGAAGUAGGUCCCAAGGGUAUGGCUGUUCGCCAUUUAAAGUGGUACGCGAGCUGGGUUUAGAACGUCGUGAGACAGUUCGGUCCCUAUCUGCCGUGGGCGCUGGAGAAUUGAGGGGGGCUGCUCCUAGUACGAGAGGACCGGAGUGGACGCAUCACUGGUGUUCGGGUUGUCAUGCCAAUGGCACUGCCCGGUAGCUAAAUGCGGAAGAGAUAAGUGCUGAAAGCAUCUAAGCACGAAACUUGCCCCGAGAUGAGUUCUCCCUGAGACUUUAAGUCUCCUGAAGGAACGUUAAAGACGAUGACGUUGAUAGGCCGGGUGUGUAAGCGCAGCGAUGCGUUGAGCUAACCGGUACUAAUGAACCGUGAGGCUUAACCU